CAUUAUUGAAAUAAACCUGAUGAGUUGCUGCUGGUUCUCUAGGGAGCAUGUGCACACUUGUCGUCUUUAUAUUUCCACCUUGUGCACCUUUUGUAGACCUGGAUAUCUCUCUGAAUGCACACAAGCAUUUGGGUUUGAGGGGUUGACCUUUUGGUCUCCCUUUAUAUUUCCAGGCCUAUGUUUCUUUCAUAUACCCCACUUGUGUUAUAGAAUGUAAUAAAUGGGCCUUUGUGCCUGUAAAGCUAUACAACUUUCAGCAACGGAUCUCUUGGCUCUCGCAUCGAUGAAGAACGCAGCGAAAUGCGAUAAGUAAUGUGAAUUGCAGAAUUCAGUGAAUCAUCGAAUCUUUGAACGCACCUUGCGCUCCUUGGUAUUCCGAGGAGCAUGCCUGUUUGAGUGUCAUUAAUAUAUCAACCUCCUCAACUUGUGUUGAGUGUUGGAUGUGGGGGGUUCUUUUUUUGCUGGCUUUUACGGUCAGCUCCCCUGAAAUGCAUUAGCGGAACAACCUGUUCACUGUUCAUUGGCGUGAUAACUAUCUACGCUGCUUGUUGACAGUGACGCAAGUUCAGCUUCUAACAGUCCAUUAAAUUGGACAAAUUUUUAUUAAUGUGACCUCAAAUCAGGUAGGACUACCCGCUGAACUUAAGCAUAUCAAUA
rnacentral:rRNA from 1 species